AAUUUCAAUUGUUACAUUUGUCAAACUUCUCAAUAUUUUUAGACAAAAUUAAUUUAUUUUUGACAUAAUGAGUUUUCAUUUAGAGGAUUAAAUAAACGCGGAGCAUUCGAAUAUGGAAAAUAAAUCAUACAGAUUCUCAUAAGCUUCUUAUCAAGGUUUUUCCUUUUAGUUUUGUUUUUUACAGUUUCGACAUAAACCGCAAAACGAGAUCUACGCAAAUUCUUUUAUUAUCUUUUCUCACUUUCGCUCGGUCAUUCGUUCCAUCUCUUACUCUCUUUAGUUCGUGCAACUUAGGCAAUAAAGGCCUAUCUCUUACGACUACUUAUGCUCUAUAAAACGCAAUACUUAUUAUUAAUUAGUCGCUACUGUCGAUUACACAAACGAAAAAAGUUCCUGGUCAAUACUGAAAAGUAACAAAUUAUUUUUAUAAAAGUGUCUUUCUCUUCUUUAGGCGUUUUUGCUUUCAUAAUAAAUUGCAUUUCCAAAAAACAAUCUGCCAAAUGAAAUAUUUUUACAAAUUCCACCGAAUAAAAUUAUAUUAAAAUUAUGAAUUAAUUCUGCUUACAACUUUUAUCGUUCGACGUUAAUCAUAAUAACAGUAGUAAUGAUACUGCCAUUAAACCUUAAAACAUUUAAAAAUUAAGCCACAAAACGAUUCGAACGAUACAAAAGAUUUCUUCAUUCUGUCGACUGUCACCUCCUUUUGACAGCAUACGUCUUUUCUCUCUUCAAUCAUUUUCGCAUUAUUAAAAAAUAUUUCAUUUUCGUUCCUCUCUCCAUCGCCCGUUAAGCCUCUUUUUGUUCGUCCUUUAACUUGUUCGCGGAGCAAAAAGAGUCGGAUGGCGAAAAAACGAUGAAAAAGUUUCGAACGGGAGACGAAAGAGGAAAGGAGCGUACACAGGGUGUCCCGAAAAGAGCUACGCACGAGGCCAUUCCAUGGACUUUUUUUUUUUUGACUUACAAGGUGGAAAAAAGUAUGCAGAUGCGGAAAAGUCCAGCGCUAUACAAAGGCACCGGAGAAUUGUUUUUUUUUUCUUUCCUUCUUUAGAGACGCGUUAACUAUUAUUUUAUCCCUUCAUUUUCUUCAUUUCUCUCUUUCUCUCUCUAGGAACACCAACUACGCCUAUACCUCGACGAAGUGGUCGGUUUCGAAAUAUCUUAAAGGAAGUCAAACUGUCCGCCUCGUCGAGAGUGGAAAUAUCAGGUUCUUUUGGCUACCUUUCAAAAUAGACCGCUUCUUGAGCCUCUUAUUUGUUUAAUCUUUCUCCCUCUUUCAAAAAAUCGUACUCCAAACUUUGAAAAAUCUUUUUUCUUCAUCUACCUCUCACCUCCCUCUCUUCCUCUCUUUCUCCCCCUUUAUCUUUCUUAUAAAUUGUAUAGCUAUUUGUUAUUAUUUUCAUCGCGUAGUUCAUCAUUUUCUGUUUCGACAAAAAUUUGAUAUCUUUCUUUCGCGAUAAUAUAUAAUAUAUAUAUAAUAUAUAUUUAUUUAUAACUACGCACGUGUCAACGUUCCUUUUCUUCUUUUUCUUUUUUCCUUUUUGUGUAGUCUCUCACAGGCUCUCUCUUUCGCUCUUUCUUUCGAUUAUAUACGCACUCACACACUCGCGCUCUGAUGCAUUCUUUUUCGAUCCAACACUCGCUCUUCUCUUGUGCUUCUCCUCGUCUUCGACUUAUAUUGUAGUAAUCUUAUUUUUUUCCUUCUUGUAUACAAACUUACAUCGCUAAACGUAUAACCUAAGAUGUACUCUCUGUUCUUUUUCCUCUUUAUGGUUACAAAUACAAUGGCGGUAGAGUAUUUUUAAUACAGCUCAUUCUUUUUAUAUAUAUAUAAUAUAUAUAUGGCUUUUAAUAUUUAUAUAAUAUACUUGAGGUCUGACGAAUCCUGAAUUUUUCAUGUUACCUGCUACAACGUACAAUGCUAGAAAUAUGAUGCGGAAGGAUUGAUGACAAUUGGAAGAAGAUUAGAUAUUUAAAAUAAAUUUAAGCCUUUGCGGUCCUAGCUGAUUUAUGAAGAAUUUCAUUAAUCACAUUCAAAAAAUAUAGACCAUGUCAAGAGAAAUCCACUAAAAAAGAUGAAUUAAAAUACAUCAACAGGUAAUUGAUAUAUCUUUGUUUGAAAUGCUGUACAGAAUAUUGUCAUUUAUUUUAUAAGAAAGAAUAAUGAAAUGUUUUCUUCUCCCAAUAAAUACAAUAAAUUUAAUUUCUUUCCUGUGACAACGCAUCAUAUUUCCAAUUACGUUCACAACGUUUUGCUUCAUUCAUUUUUUUUUUUGUUUUUAUUUCACAUCACAUAAACGUAUUUAAUAUUGUUGCGCAUAAUACUUUUAGUUUGCGCAGUAUGUUUGAGAACUGAUAUAUAAUAUUAAAUACCAAAAGAAUGGCAAUCGACAAUCGUUAAUUAGAAUGCUUUAACCUUUGUGAUAAGGAAAGUAUCGGCAAAAGGAGCAUGAAAUAAUGGCACACUGAAUAAUACUAAACAGAUAAGUGUUAAAAAAAAGAAAGAAACA